rnacentral:rRNA from 1 species
UACAGAGGGUGCGAGCGUUGUCCGGAAUCACUGGGCGUAAAGGGCGCGUAGGCGGCUAAGUAAGUCGGGCGUGAAAUCCCACGGCUCAACCGUGGAAGUGCACUCGAAACUGCAUAGCUAGAGUCCUGGAGAGGAAGGUGGAAUGCUUGGUGUAGAGGUGAAAUUCGUAGAUAUCAAGCGGAACACCGGUGGCGAAGGCGGCCUUCUGGACAGUGACUGACGCUGAGACGCGAAAGCGUGGGGAGCAAACAGGG